rnacentral:rRNA from 1 species
UACGUAGGGGGCUAGCGUUGUCCGGAAUCAUUGGGCGUAAAGCGCGCGUAGGCGGCCCGGUAAGUCCGCUGUAAAAGUCCAGGGCUCAACCCUGGAACGCCGGUGGAUACUGUCGGGCUAGAGUCCGGAAGAGGCGAGUGGAAUUCCUGGUGUAGCGGUGGAAUGCGCAGAUAUCAGGAGGAACACCGGUGGCGAAGGCGGCUUGCUGGGCCAGUUCUGACGCUGAGGAGCGAAAGCGUGGGGAGCGAACAGG